rnacentral:rRNA from 1 species
UAAUUGAAGAGUUUGAUCAUGGCUCAGAUUGAACGCUGGCGGCAGGCCUAACACAUGCAAGUCGAGCGGUAACAGGAGAAAGCUUGCUUUCUUGCUGACGAG